AAAGAGAUAAAUCGUGUAGUAGUUUUAAAUUGGUGAGUAGUCCUUAGAAUUUAUGUGCCAUGCCCCCGCACCCCUCGUGUCCGGAGACACCGAAGUCUGCCCCUGCCCAGCACGCCCGUCUCCCGAGCCCCCUACCCCCACAUGCUCCUGCUCCCAACCAGUCGUACCCCCACCGACCAUGCGUACGCGUUGAGUAGAUCCAGAGCAGUGGGGCUGGGAAGUGCCCGAGGUGAGAUCAGGCGAGGUGAUCAGGUCCGCUUCCUCCUCUUCCUCCGUUGGCUUCUACACGCUCCAGGACGAGGAGGAGUAGGGUGAUGAGGGCCGCGUCCUUGAGGCAUGGGAGCACGCAUACGCCGCCCUAGGCCAGGUGACCAGCUUUUGGCCGGGCCCAUUGCUGGCGACGAGAAUCCAAUAGUGAAGCUUUCUAUGUGUUGGCAGAUAAACUGAGCAGUGAGGGGUCUUGACGGUAGCAGAGUAGGUCCUGGCUGUGUUGGAAGGUAAACUAAACAGUGAGGGGUCCUGACGUCUGCAAAGAGCACUGAGAAAAGGCACAUGAGGGGCAGUAAGAGGACAGCAGGUCCUACUGUUGUUGGAAAAUAAAUUGAGCAGGUGCUGGUGGCGGCUAUAGAAGAAGGCACGAGGGGUGGCCAGAGGAGAGCAGUUCCUGGUGUGCGUUGGAGAGUGUUAAUUACCUGUGUGUGUACCUGAGGCCUUUAGUUGUACACCACGCUUUUGGAGCAGUUCCUGGUAGGCGGCUUGGCUGCUAUUUGUACAUUACUUUUGGAGGCCGCUGGUUCUAUAUAUGUGACGAUGUUUGGAAAGUGUCGAACAUUUCUUACACUGUCGUGAUACUUUUCCUUGUAUUAGUUUCUAUUUUUGGAAUGCAUGUAUAUAUCAUAUUUGAAAUUAUCUAGAAAGAAUUAUUUGCCUUUA